rnacentral:rRNA from 1 species
AUGCCUAUGAAUUCUUCACUUGUUAUUGAACCAUUUGAUGUGUGGGGAUUUGAUUAUAUGGGACCUUUUCCUUCCUCUAAUGGGUAUACACAUAUUUUGGUUGCUGUUGAUUAUGUUACUAAGUGGGUAGAAGCUAUUCCAACUAGUAGUGUUGAUCCUAACACUUCCAUUAAAAUGCUUAAAGAAGUUACUUUCCCGAGGUUUGGAGUCCCUAGAUAUUUAAUGACUGAUGAUGGUUCACAUUUUAUUCAUAGUGCUUUCCGUAAAUUGCUUGCUAAAUAUGAUGUCAACCAUAGAAUUGCAUCCCCAUAUCACCCUCAAUCUAGUGGUCAAGUUGAGUUGAGCAAUAGAGAAAUAAAGUUAAUUUUGUAA